CCAGACUCGAGCUCUAUGAUGAGCAAGAGAAUUCCGACCAACUUCGAACAAGCUUAGAUUUGCUUGAAGAAAUAAGAGAAAAAGCUUGAAUCAUGAUGGCAUCAUACCAACAAUGGAUGGCUCGUUACUAUAAUGCCCAAGUUAAGGCAAAAGCCUUUCAACUUAGGGAUCUUGUUAUGAGAUGAGUUGAGGUGUCCAGGCCCAUGGAACAAGAUAAGUUUACGC
rnacentral:lncRNA from 1 species